rnacentral:ribozyme from 11 species
CUUCUUCCCUUUUGCUUUUUUCUCUCUCGUAUUCAUUAAAAAAAAACAAAGUAAAAGGCCAACCACGACAGACAGAGUCGAGAUGCGCCCCUACUGAUGAUACAAAAAGACAACAAUAAAAACAGACCGAAUUUUCUUUUAGAAUAAAACGGCCAAACGAACCGGCGCAUUUCGCACGAAUUCAAUCACAACAUAAAAGAAGU